UUGAGUUUGGAAAUUGUUUCA
rnacentral:snRNA from 1 species